CCUACGGGUGGCAGCAGUGGGGAAUAUUGCACAAUGGGGGGAACCCUGAUGCAGCAACGCCGCGUGGGUGAAGAAGUAUUUCGGUAUGUAAAGCCCUGUCAGCAGGGAAGAAAGAGACGGUACCUCACGAAUAAGCACCGGCUAACUACGUGCCAGCAGCCGCGGUAAUACGGAGGGGGCAAGCGUUAUCCGGAUUUACUGGGUGUAAAGGGAGCGUAGACGGCAUAGCAAGUCAGGAGUGAAAGCCUGUGGCCCAACCACAGGACUGCACUGGAAACUGCUGUACUGGAGUGCAGGAGGGGUAAGCGGAAUUCCUAGUGUAGCGGUGAAAUGCGUAGAUAUUAGGAGGAACACCCGUGGCGAAGGCGGCUUACUGGACUGUAACUGACGUUGAGGCUCGAAAGCGUGGGGAGCAAACAGGAUUAGAUACCCCUGUAGUC
rnacentral:rRNA from 1 species